ACUUUUCCCCCCCACCCAACUCUACAUGCAUCGUCUGAUCCAAGAGAAAGAGACACUUGUGAAAUAGCACGUGUUAUUUUCCUCGUGUAUCCAGUUGUCUUCCAGAGUGUUCGAAUCCGAGGACCUGAUUGGUUCAUUUCAAGACUAACCAUGUUGAGUUUCAUCAUUUCUGUCACACAGGUUAGUUAGUUUGCCUGUCACCUGUGCCACUGUGCUUAUAUUGAACAGAAACUAGUGUAUUAGAUCACUGUUAUCUUUGUCAGUUUUGUCUGUAGAAAAAAGAAGAGGUGAGAAUUGAUGUCUGUUUUCUCAAGUGUUUCAAUGGUUUGUUUUACAUUUGGGAAGUUACCAGCCUUUGCCAAAUGGCUACCAGCUGUUCUGGUUUUGAGUGCAUGCUCUCUAGCAUAUUUGAACCAUAUUGGUGCUGUCUAACUCUUAAAGGGCCAGUGUAUCUGUUGCUUUUGGAAUGGAUCACUAAACACUGUAAUAGAAUCAAAAAGUGUCAAGUUUUUCAUUUAUUUUUGUCUUUUACGGUGCUAAAUUAAAACCAUCAAGGAAG